rnacentral:tRNA from 1 species
UGUGCCCGAAGAACACAAGGGCCAUUUUGAUAAAAUAGACAUAGAGCCACCUACACUCUCACUUCUA